rnacentral:lncRNA from 1 species
CGAGUAAAUAUGGCAUCGAAUUAUCCACUCGGGUACGAUGACGAAAGAUUCGAGUCAAUAGUGAACCAAAAUUUCCACUGUUUGAUUUGCUACAACGUAUUGAAAGACCCCGUGAUGUGCCGCAGAAACGAGCAUUAUUUUUGCCGUGGCUGCAUCACGGAACAUCUUCGUAGGAAUUCCCAUACAUGUCCAACAUGCGCUGACGAGCUGAGUGUCGAAACAUUGCAAGGCGUUCCAAGAAUUGUGAAGAAUUACUUAAACGAACUAAGUAUUCGUUGCGAUCAUUAUGACAGAGGAUGUCGAAAACUCGUACGACUGCAGAAUUUAAAGCGACAUGUCGCCGAAUGCGGGUUUACUCCAGUCGUUUGUGGAAAUCAAGGUUGUGGUGAGACAAUCAGUAAAAGAGAUCGUACAUAUCACGAGAGCGAACUGUGUCAAUUUAGAAAGUUGAAGUGCCACAAUUGUAGAGAAAUCGGCACUACGAUGGCGGGAAUGAAAAUGGAAAUGGCGAACAUCAACACGAAUCAGGUGAACACGAAAAAGAAAUUGGCAAACACGAACACGAACAUGGCAAAUAUUAGAACGGAAAUUGCAAAUGUGAACACGAAAAUGGACAAUAUCAACACCGAAAUGGUAGGCAUCAACACGAAAAUGGCAAACACGGACACGAAACUCGAAAACAUGAACACGAAAAUGGCAAACUUGCACGCAAACGUGGAAGCGAAGUUCCAAGCGAUGAAUAAUGAAGUGAGAAAAAUAAAAAUGAGUUUAAAUGAAGUAAAAGAUGGUUUUGAUCAUUUGAAAGAAGCAGUACUAGAGAAGAUAGAGAGCAAAGAAAGAAAGCAGGAGGAAAUCACAAGAGAUGUAAGUGGCACAGCGAGUGGCGGGAGAGAAAAUCAACAUAUAUUUGUUGCUGGUGGUUUUGGGAGAAACUCGGUAGAAAUAUUUAACUACCGUCAGAGAUUGUGGUCUUUAUUAAAGCCCAUGGCAGAGAGUCGUAACAGCGCAUCUUCAUUUCUCUACAAUAAUCACGUGACUGUAGCGGGAGGUUAUUGUGAUGCGGCUGUAGAUAACAUGAUCCGAAUGAAUAUUCACCCAGUUCCUGAUCUCUCAAAUAACUGGAGUGAUUUUGCUGCCAAACUUCCUGCCAAGAUGUCUGCACACAGCAGUGUCGUAUACAAGGAUAGCUUGUUGGUUACUGGCGGUAUUAAUGAAGAUCAAGAUGUCUACUUUGACUGUAUUCAUGAAGUUCAACUUAAACCACUUUACACUGUUAAACUGCUAUCCAAGAUGCCUGAACCAAGAGUUCAUCACAGCAUGAUACUAUGUGAUGAUAGUAUUUUGAUCGUUGGGGGAAAGAAAUCAUGGGACUGCAAAGACACCCUCAGCAAUGUGUUAAGCUAUGACAUCAAGAAGAAUGAAUGUCAACAGUUACCUGCGCUUCCCUAUCCAGUGAGUCAAAUGGCGACAGUCAAGUGGGCUGAGAAUGUCGUGAUCAUUGGUGGGGCUGACAAGGAUGGUAAAGCAUUAAACAAUGUUACAAUUUAUAACAUCAAGACUGGAAACAGUCAUAUGUUGCCUCCCAUGUUACACAAGAGGACAGGAUGUAUGGCAGUUGUUAUUGAGAAUACAAUUGUAGUGCUAGGAGGGAUGGAUGAGAGAAGGCGUAUUUUGAAAUCAGUUGAAAGUUUCAAUUUUGAGCGAUUUUCAUGGCAGGAACUUCCUGAAAUGAAGGAAACCAGAUACUGGGCUACAGCUGUCGUGAUCUAGACGUGUUUGUAUAGAAGAUGUGGAAUGUCAAAACUUUGACAUUUACAACUCCAAAGUUUUAACGAUUUUAACAAAGAUUGAAGAACUGUACGUGACUAUACCAAUGUCUGAGAAGCUCUCGACAAGAUCAAAACUCAUUGCGCAGAAUUUUCUAAAACUUUGACAUACAUCUCAAAACAUUUCGAGAUUUACGAAUACAUGAAGAACAGCCAGAUAUAGUACUAAAGCUAUCAUUAUCGAGACAGGUUUAAAAAUAGUAUUUCUAGGAUUCAGCAUUAUACAUGUAAAACAUUUAUAGUCAAUCAUAUAAAAACAAUUCUUCUCUUCUAACUUAUACUGUAGACUACUUUCAUAAUAUAGAUGGGUUUAAAUAAUCAUUUUAUAUUCUUAUAGUCUAAUUACAUUCCGAAUUAGCCAUUCCGAAGUUGAUGAGAAGACUGGGGGACGAAGUGCCCAAAUUAAUAAAUGA